rnacentral:rRNA from 1 species
CUACGGGAGGCAGCAGUCGAGAAUUUUUCACAAUGGGCGCAAGCCUGAUGGAGCGACGCCGCGUGGGGGAUGAAGGGUUUCGAUCCGUAAACCCCUGUCAUUUGCGAACAAACCUUCUGCAAUAACACUGCAGGAGCUGAUUGUAGCGGAAGAGGAAGGGACGGCUAACUCUGUGCCAGCAGCCGCGGUAAUACAGAGGUCCCAAGCGUUGUUCGGAUUCACUGGGCGUAAAGGGUGCGUAGGUGGCCGGGUAAGUUCGGUGUGAAAGCUCGGAGCUCAACUCCGAAAUGGCAUUGAAUACUAUCCGGCUUGAGGGUCGGAGGGGAGACUGGAAUUCUCGGUGUAGCAGUGAAAUGCGUAGAUAUCGAGAGGAACACCAGUGGCGAAGGCGAGUCUCUGGACGACUCCUGACACUGAGGCACGAAAGCUAGGGGAGCAAACAGGAUUAGAUACCCUGGUAGG